rnacentral:lncRNA from 1 species
ACAAGUACAUGCACACGUUAUACACUACACAUACAAGUACAGGCACACGUUAUACACUACACAUACAAGUACAGGCACACGUUAUACACUACACAUACAAGUACACGCACACGUUAUACACUACACAUACAAGUACAGGCACACGUUAUACACUACACAUACAAGUACAUGCACACGUUAUACACUACACAUACAAGUACAUGCACACGUUAUACACUACACAUACAAGUACACGCACACGUUAUACACUACACAUACAAGUACAGGCACACGUUAUACACUACACAUACAAGUACAUGCACACGUUAUACACUACACAUACAAGUACAUGCACACGUUAUACACUACACAUACAAGUACACGCACACGUUAUACACUACACAUACAAGUACAGGCACACGUUAUACACUACACGUACAAGUACACGCACACGUUAUACACUACACAUGCAAGUACACGCACACGUUAUACACUACACGUACAAGUACACGCACACGUUAUACACUACACAUACAAGUACACGCACACGUUAUACACUACACAUACAAGUACACGCACACGUUAUACACUACACGAACACGUACACGCUACACUACACGCACACGUUAUACACUACACGCACACGCUACAUGCUACACACUACACGCACACGUUAUACGCUACAUGCACACGUUAUACGCUACACGCACGCACAAGCACGCACACGUUAUACACUACACAUACAAGUACACGCACACGUUAUACACUACACGAACACGUACACGCUACACUACACGCACACGUUAUACACUACACAUACAAGUACACGCACACGUUAUACACUACACGAACACGUACACGCUACACUACACGCACACGUUAUACACUACACGCACACGCUACAUGCUACACACUACACGCACGCACAAGCACGCACACGUUAUACACUACACAUACAAGUGCACGCACACAACACGUACACGCUACACGCACACGUUAUACACUACACACACACGUACACGCUACAUGCUACACACUACACGCACA